GUACACUCCUACGGGAGGCAGCAGUGGGGAAUUUUGGACAAUGGGCGAAAGCCUGAUCCAGCAAUGCCGCGUGAGUGAAGAAGGCCUUCGGGUUGUAAAGCUCUUUUGUCAGGGAAGAAACGGUGAAAGCUAAUAUCUUUUGCUAAUGACGGUACCUGAAGAAUAAGCACCGGCUAACUACGUGCCAGCAGCCGCGGUAAUACGUAGGGUGCAAGCGUUAAUCGGAAUUACUGGGCGUAAAGCGUGCGCAGGCGGUUUUGUAAGUCUGAUGUGAAAUCCCCGGGCUCAACCUGGGAAUUGCAUUGGAGACUGCAAGGCUAGAAUCUGGCAGAGGGGGGUAGAAUUCCACGUGUAGCAGUGAAAUGCGUAGAUAUGUGGAGGAACACCGAUGGCGAAGGCAGCCCCCUGGGUCAAGAUUGACGCUCAUGCACGAAAGCGUGGGGAGCAAACAGGAUUAGAAACCCUAGUAGUCCCAUGAU
rnacentral:rRNA from 1 species